AAGUUACUACAAAAAGCUCCUGCCUCUGACUGCUGCUGGGUCUGUUUGCUUCCAGAGCUUUUCAUUUGGUAGAGAAAGGAAAACACUCUGAGAUGGACGGUCUCCGAUUCCAGUUUUCUUCCUGCUUAAGAAUCAAGAACUGGCUCAGAGGAGUGAGAUGAGAUAAGUGAGGCCCAGCGAGGUAAAGAAGCUUGCCCCAGGCCACACAGCUGUGUACAGG